CCAGAGUCACUCCAGGAGGAACUGUUCUAUAUGAGAGACUCAGCAUGUAUCACACUGGCUGUCUGCUGCUUCUCCUGGCUGGAUUCUUGGGACUUUCUCACAGUCAACCAGGACAAGAGCCUGACAACACAUCCAACCAAACCUAUAAAGAAGUCUCACAGUGGAACAUAUCCAGCUACCAGAUUGCCUCUGACAAUGCCGACUUUGCCUUCUGUCUCUACCACCUGAUAGCAUCCCGAAAGUCUGAGAAUAACAUUUUCUUCUCCCCGCUCAGCAUCUCCAUCUCCUUGGCCAUGCUGUCCUUAGGGGCUGUCAGGGACACCCAGACUCAGAUCCUCGAAGGCCUGGGCUUCAACCUCACAAAGCUGUCACUGCCUGAAAUCUAUGAGGGUUUCAGGUCCAUUCAAGACACGUUCUCGCUCAUUCACUGAGCUGAACAUCUCUGUAGGCAAUGCACUGAUCCUGAGCCAGGACCUGCGACUCCUCCCUGAGUUCGCCAGUGCCACCGAAACCUCCUUUAACAGCAAAGUCUUACAAGCUAACUUCGGAGACGAGAAGGCUGUGAUCUAGCUCAUCAACAACUAUGUCAAGGAGAAAAGUCAGGGGAAGAUCAAAGAUUUGAUCAGUAAACUGAGCCCAAAUGUAAGGAUGGUGCUGGUGAAUUAUAUCUUCUUCCAAGGCCUUUGGGAGAAACCCUUUCAUACUUCUGGAAUCUCUACCCAAGACUUCUACGUAGAUGAGAACACAGUUGUGAAGGUACCAAUGAUGCGGCAAGUUCAGAAACAUGGGUAUCUUGAGGACAGCAAUGUACCCUACAAAGUGCUGCGGAUGGAUUACAGGGGAGAUGCAAUGGCGUUCUUCAUCCUUCCUAACCCGGGCAAGAUGAAUGAGGUGGAGAAGGUGCUGUCCCCAGGCAUGCUAACAAAGUGGCAUCGCUUGCUUCAGAAUAGGCCUUCCACAAGGCCACCCUAGACGUGAAUGAAGCUGGCACAGAGGCCGCAGCAGUCACCGCUUUCUCUAUGGCGCCGUAUUCUGCUCCACUCUAUCACAUUACAUUCAACCGGCCGUUCCUGUUGGUGAUAUAUUCCAGCAGCACCGAGAAUAUCAUCUUCAUGGGGAAGGUGGUCAACCCCACAGCACAGCAGACCUCGGACUAGCUGGUCUGUUACCAGCAGGAGAAUGUGACUGGGGAGUGCUGGGUAUGAAUAACUCUGCAUCCACGACUUGGGGUAGGGAAGGGCCCCUGACACCAAGAGCAAUACAGGAGGGCAUGGGGCUAGAUGGGUUUGAAAGUGGGAGAGACCCUCCUAGGGUGUCACACUGAUUAAAACAAAUGAUAUCUCUAAAACCCUA